GAUCCCGUGGUGUAGUGGUUAUCACAUCUGUCUAACACACAGAAGGUCCCCAGUUCGAGCCUGGGCGGGAUCA
rfam:Macrostomum lignano uti_cns_0019040, whole genome shotgun sequence.